CACUAAAUCAGCAAAACCUUGCCGUCACCUAAUACAAUGGCAUCUUCUGAUCUAAGAACACCUUCUCUUCUCUAACAAGAAAUAACAGGACAAAUAGAGAAUAAAAACAGCAGGCAAAUAAAUAAGGGCCAUCUCAUAGAUGAGCUGAUAACUGGAUAAAAUACAAGUAAAAUGUUAACUAUAGAUAUAGGUGGUGAGUAUAAGAAUUCACUGGAUAACUACUGGAACUUUUUUGCAUGUUUGAAAAUUUUCAUAAUGUCAGAAGCAUCGCAACAAAUUCAACCAUAGGCACCAAAGCAAGUCACAUUUCUCAUUAAAUGUUUCAUAAAGAGUCAGAUACUCUCCAGGCCAUUUGUUACAACUCCCUAUAUAAAUGCAAUUCUUCAUUCUCAAGACCUUAUUUGUGUUGUUUCCCCACUGGACUCUUCCCAAAUGCAAACCAGGCCCAGUUCAGGUUCUAACACCUUCUAUUUAAAAAAAGAAAAAGAAAAAUCCUUCUUCUCUCUGCUUAAGUGCCAUUGCAUUUCACUGUGUCGUACUAUCUAAAAUACAGAUCUGACAAUUUUUUAGGUGUUAUACUAGUUAGACUGGGUGUUGUUUUUAAUUAUAAGAAAUACUUUCUACGCCAGGCACAGUGGCUCAUGCCUGUAAUCCCAGCACUUUGGGAGGCUGAGGCGGGUGGAUCACUUGAGGUCAGGAGUUUGAGACCAGCCUGGCCAACAUGGUGAAACCCCAUCUCUACUACACAAAUAAACAAACAAACAAAAAACACACACAGAUUAGCUGGGCAUGGUGGCGCAUGCCUGUAGUCCCAGUUGCCUGGGAGGCUGAGGUUGCAGUGAGCCAAGAUUAGGCUAUUGGACUCCAGCCUAGGCAACAGAGUGAGAUCCUGUCUCAGAAACAAAAACAAAAGAACAAACAAACAUUAGCCAGGCAUGGUGGCAGGCACCUGUAAUGCCAGCUACUCAGGAGGCUGAGGCAGAAGAAUCACUUGAACCUGGGAGGUGGAGGUUGCAGUGAGCUGAGAUUGUGCCACUGCAUGCCAGCCUGGGCGACAGAGUAAUACUUUGUCUGAAAAAAUAAAAAUAAAAUAAAACAUAAAAAAGCUAUCUUUUAGAUACGUAUUAAGAUAUUAUACAUGAAGUGAUAUGAUAGCUGGAACGUGCUUUAAAAUAACUCAAGGGGUUGGGUACAAAUGAAACGAGACUGAUCAUAACUGUGAGAGCUAAGCCCAGAGUACAUGACCUAGUUGUUCUAUUUCUAUGUUUUUUGUUAGAAAACAAAUUGAAAAUACAACCCUGGGAAGAAAUUAUGUAGUCAAGUAACUAUACUAUCAAAAUGAAUUAGACAUUUGAAGCAAUUAUCUAUAAAACUGUAGUAAAAAUUGCCCUGAAUCAAGUGAUUCAGCCAAAGGAAAGUCUGUUGAUUAUAUUGCACUCCCCCCCCCGCUUCUUUUUUUUCAAACAAUCAGCUUUCUAUUGCUACUUUUACUGUAGGCCUGACUCUCAAUACAGAAACUUCAAAAUGGGCGCCUAUUCAAUCAGAAUUUGAAAUUUCUAUUUUAUCCUGCCUCGUGAAUUAAUGAGCACAAGUUCUUUAUAGGAUUCCAGCUAAUAGAUGCAGAAGGAAUGACAAGAUAUCACUGGUUGGCAACCUCUAAUGGAAUCCCAGAUGUGGGCAAAUAUCAUUAAUGAUGGCUAAAUCCAUCAGGGGAAAAGCUGAUAGAGAACUUUUGUAAUGAAUGGAGUGGGCUGGCAGCAUCCAAACCCACUAUCAAUCUUAAUGUUACAAGAUGAGAGCCAUUAUGUGCCAUGAUGUGAUACAACAUGGAGCAUAUAUCACCUAUGAAUUAUUUUUGUGAAAAAGCAAAACAGAACAACAGAAGCCCUCUAGAUCUGUCAGUUUAUAGAACAUAUAGGGGACAGAAAAGGUGUACAUGAUCCCAUUAGGAUACAUUCAGUAAAAUCCACUGAAGGACAAUUCUAUAGGACAAACAACUUAGUUUCUUCAAAAAUUAAAAACAGGAAAGUUAAAUCUAUAGAUUAUAUUAACAAAAUGCAAGAUCUAGAUCUUGCCUGGAUCUUGACUCGAAUAAACCAACUGUUAAAAAAAACUUACGAGACAAUCAGGAAGUUUGAAUAUUGACUGGUACUUGGCAUCAAAAAAUGUUUUAGCAGUCUUACACAAUGGUAUUGUGGUUAUGUUCAAAAAAGUACCCUAUCUUUGGAGUUAUAUUUGAAUGUCUCUGAUCACACAGACAUGAAAAUACUAUGCCUGUUAAUGGGACUCAAACUGAUCCCUGUGGGUUGGGGCAGGGGAUAGGUGGGGAUGCAGGUAAACAAGACUGACCACAGGACAGCUGUUGGAGGAUGGGUACACAGAGCUUCAUUCUGCUAUUCUUUUUGUGCAUUUGUGAAAAUUUCCAUAAUAAAAUGUUUUUAAAAAUGAGUUUGGAUAGCAUUAUACUAUAAAAUAUUUUAAAAUUUCCUUCUUUAAUGAAGACUUGCAAGCAGAAAAAUAUAAUUUUCUAAGGGUCAAUUAACUAGUACAUUAACUCAAGUAACAGUUACUUAGCGCAGGGCAUGGUGGCUUAUGCCUAUAAUCCCAGUACUUUGGGAGGCCAAGGUGGGAGGAUGGCUUGAGCCAGGAGUUCAAUACCAACCUGGGCAACAUAGGGAGACCUCUGUCUCUUACAUAAAUAAAAAAAAUUAGCCAGGCCAAAAAUUGGGAUUUUAAACCAAAAGGAGAAACCUUUGAUAAACUGAACAUCAAUUCCAGGUAAAACUAGGCUCUGGAGUCAGCCAGAUCUAGGUUUGAAUCCUAGCUCUGUCAUUUUCUAUCUACCAGUUCAAUGUUUUUUGGCAUAGCACACAAUUUCUGUGACCCUUAGGCUCCACAUCUAUAAUGUGGCAGCAACAACUUUCUUGGUCAGUAGAGCACUCUGCAAAGGGCCUGGCACAUGGUAAGUGCUUGGUGUAGAAUUCAAAUAAUUCCACUACCAUUUCAGUCAUAAAUGCAUACUUUUCUAUAAUCUAACAUCUCUCAAAUUGGGAUGUCUCAUAAUUGAUGGCAUAUCAUGAUUUAAUUGGCAGGUUUUUUCCUUAGUCGUUUGUAAAAAAUGGUGCUACAGAUCAAUAGCAUCUAAGAGUCAAUAUACCAUGGUAUCAAUCAUUGUAAAGAUAUAUUCCCAAUUUCUGUUCUAAGGUUACUCUGAAUAACCAAUCUGAGAUUUAAAAUAUUUAAAGUCUGAGUAAAAUAUUUCUAAUACAUCAUGAACAGAACAGUUUUGAGACAAAUUAAUUUUGUAAAAAAUGGUUUAUCAAUUCCAUUUUUGUAUAAAACACACGGGAGAAACCUAGCCAAUCAACACACAACUGUCACCACAUGAAAAGGUACUUUUAUCAAACUUCGAGUCUAAGAACAUACAAAUGUUUCUUUUAUCAUGUCUACAGUAAUUGUCUAUGCUUUUCCAUUUAACUGUUGUUAAAAAUUCCACAUAUCCCCAUUAUUUCUUCUGUCCCAGUUACAGUACAAUGACGGGGAGGAAGAGGGUUGGUUAAAGCAUCCCUCUAAGCAGUUUUCUGCUGUCCCUUCUUUCCAAUCAGAGAUUUGUGGAUGUGAGGGAUCACACCUAGAAUGAAAUUUAAAAAAGUUAUUAAAAACUUUUAAAGUUUUUGCCUCAAGUAAAAAGUUAAUUAUAGAAAAAAUGAAAUUUACUUAAGUCCCUUUUCAUAUUCUGAUACUGUUAAACUAUCUAUACCAAUGGCUACACCCCAGGGGUCUGUGAACCCUUUAAAACUGUAUGUAAAAUUGUGUGACUUUCCGUGCAUUUUUUGAGAAGAGUAACCAUAGCUUUUUUUUUUUUUUUUUUUUGAGAUGGCCUCACUUUGUCGCCAAUGCUGGGGUGCAGUGGUGUAAUCUUGGCUCACUGCGACCUCUGUCCUGGGUUCAAGUGAUUCUCCUACCUCAGCCUCCUGAGUAGC
rnacentral:lncRNA from 10 species